rnacentral:rRNA from 1 species
GGUUUGAUCCUGGCCUGUGAUUGAACGCUGGCGGGAUGCUUUACACAUGCAAGUCGAACGGCAGCACGGACUUCGGUCUGGUGGCGAGUGGCGAACGGGUGAGUAAUGUAUCGGAACGUGCCUAGUAGCGGGGGAUAACUACGCGAAAGCGUAGCUAAUACCGCAUACGCCCUUCGGGGGAAAGCGGGGACCUUCGGGCUCUCGCACUAUUAGAGCGGCUGAUAUCGGAUUAGCUAGUUGGUGGGGUAACGGCUCACCAAGGCGACGAUCCGUAGCUGGUUUGAGAGGACGACCAGCCACACUGGGGACUGGAGACACGGCCCAGACUCCUACGGGAGGCAGCAGUGGGGAAUUUUGGACAAUGGGGGAAACCCUGAUCCAGCCAUCCCGCGUGUGCGAUGUAAGGCCUUCGGGUUGUAAAGCACUUUUGGCGGAAAGAAACGGCACGGAUAAUACCCCGGUGCAACUGACGGUACCUGCAGAAUAAGCACCGGCUAACUACGCCAGCAGCCGCGGGUAAUACGUAGGGUGCAAGCGUUAAUCGGAAUUACUGGCGCAAGCGUGCGCAGGCGGUUCGGAAAGAAAGAUGUGAAUCCCAGAGCUUAACUUUGGAACUGCAUUUUUAACUACCGAGCUAGAGUGUCAGGAGGAGCAGAAUUCCGCGUGUAGCAGUGAAUGCGUAGAUAUGCGGAGAACACCGAUGGCGAAGGCAGCCUCCUGGGAUAACACUGACGCUCAUGCACGAAAGCGUGGGGAGCAAACAGGAUUAGAUACCCUGGUAGUCCACGCCCUAAACGAUGUCAACUUAGCUGUUGGGGCCUUCGGGCUCUGGUAGCGCAGCUAACGCGUGAAGUUGACCGCCUGGGGAGUACGGUCGCAAGAUUAAAACUCAAAGGAAUUGACGGGGACCCGCACAAGCGGUGGAUGAUGUGGACAAUCUGAUGCAACGCGAAAACCUUUACCUACCCUUGACAUGUCUGGAAUCCCGAAGCAGACUUGGGAGUGCUCGCAAGAGAACCGGAACACAGGUGCUGCAUGGCUGUCGUCAGCUCGUGUCGUGAGAUGUUGGGUUAAGUCCUGCAACGAGCGCAACCCUUGUCAUUAGUUGCUACGAAAGGGCACUCUAAUGAGACCGCCGGUGACAAACCGAGGAAGGUGGGGAUGACGCUCGCAGUCCUCAUGGCCCUUAUGGGUAGGGCUUCACACGUCAUACAAUGGUCGGGACAGAGGGUCGCCAACCCGCGAGGGGGAGCCAAUCCCAGAAACCCGAUCGUAGUCCGGAUCGCAGUCUGCAACUCGACUGCGUGAAGUCGGAAUCGCUAGUAAUCGCGGAUCAGCAUGUCGCGGUGAAUACGUUCCCGGUCUUGUACACACCGCCCGUCACACUAUGGGAGUGGGUUUUACCAGAAGUAGUUAGCCUAACCGUAAGGAGGGCGAUUACCACGGUAGGAUUCAUGACUGGGGUGAAGUCGUAACAAGGUAG